AUUGAACGCUGGCGGCAGGCCUAACACAUGCAAGUCGAGCGGAUGAAGGGAGCUUGCUCCUGGAUUCAGCGGCGGACGGGUGAGUCAUGCCUAGGAAUCUGCCUGGUCGUGGGGGAUAACGUCCGGAAACGGGCGCUAAUACCGCAUACGUCCUGAGGUAGAAAGUGGGGGGUCUUCGGACCUCACGCUAUCAGAUGAGCCUAGGUCGGAUUAGCUAGUUGGUGGGGUAAGGGCCUACCAAGGCGACGAUCCGUAACUGGUCUGAGAGGAUGAUCAGUCACACUGGAACUGAGACACGGUCCAGACUCCUACGGGAAGCAGCAGUGGGGAAUAUUGGACAAUGGGCGAAAGCCUGAUCCAGCCAUGCCGCGUGUGUGAAGAAGGUCUUCGGAUUGUAAAGCACUGUAAGUUGGGAGGAAGGGCAGUAAGUUAAUACCUUGCUGUUUUGACGUUACCAACAGAAUAAGCACCGGCUAACUUCGUG
rnacentral:rRNA from 1 species